CAAUGGCGGGCAGCCUAACACAUGCAAGUCGAGCGGCAGCGGAAGUAGCUUGCUACUUUGCCGGCGAGCGGCGGACGGGUGAGUAAUGUCUGGGAAACUGCCUGAUGGAGGGGGAUAACUACUGGAAACGGUAGCUAAUACCGCAUAACGUCGCAAGACCAAAGAGGGGGACCUUCGGGCCUCUUGCCAUCAGAUGUGCCCAGAUGGGAUUAGCUAGUAGGUGGGGUAACGGCUCACCUAGGCGACGAUCCCUAGCUGGUCUGAGAGGAUGACCAGCCACACUGGAACUGAGACACGGUCCAGACUCCUACGGGAGGCAGCAGUGGGGAAUAUUGCACAAUGGGCGCAAGCCUGAUGCAGCCAUGCCGCGUGUAUGAAGAAGGCCUUCGGGUUGUAAAGUACUUUCAGCGGGGAGGAAGGCGUUGAGGUUAAUAACCUCAGCGAUUGACGUUACCCGCAGAAGAAGCACCGGCUAACUCCGUGCCAGCAGCCGCGGUAAUACGGAGGGUGCAAGCGUUAAUCGGAAUUACUGGGCGUAAAGCGCACGCAGGCGGUCUGUCAAGUCGGAUGUGAAAUCCCCGGGCUCAACCUGGGAACUGCAUUCGAAACUGGCAGGCUAGAGUCUUGUAGAGGGGGGUAGAAUUCCAGGUGUAGCGGUGAAAUGCGUAGAGAUCUGGAGGAAUACCGGUGGCGAAGGCGGCCCCCUGGACAAAGACUGACGCUCAGGUGCGAAAGCGUGGGGAGCAAACAGGAUUAGAUACCCUGGUAGUCCACGCCGUAAACGAUGUCGACUUGGAGGUUGUGCCCUUGAGGCGUGGCUUCCGGAGCUAACGCGUUAAGUCGACCGCCUGGGGAGUACGGCCGCAAGGUUAAAACUCAAAUGAAUUGACGGGGGCCCGCACAAGCGGUGGAGCAUGUGGUUUAAUUCGAUGCAACGCGAAGAACCUUACCUACUCUUGACAUCCAGAGAACUUAGCAGAGAUGCUUUGGUGCCUUCGGGAACUCUGAGACAGGUGCUGCAUGGCUGUCGUCAGCUCGUGUUGUGAAAUGUUGGGUUAAGUCCCGCACGAGCGCAACUCUUUAUCCUUUGUUGCCAGCGGUUAGGCCGGAACUCAAAGGAGACUGCCAGUGAUAACCUGGGAGGAGGUGGGGGAAUGACGUUCAAGUCAUCAUGGCCUUACGAGAGUUAGCUUACACACACCGUUCUACAUGGGCGCUACAAAGAGGAGGCGAACUUUCUGGUGA
rnacentral:rRNA from 1 species